ensembl:lncRNA
GAGCGUCUGAAAGGAAAAACCAGAUGUAUUCCUCAAGAGUCACUAUGACUGAAGGCUCGCAUUGUGCACUCACAUAAAGGGACAGCUAACCAGAAAACAGCAGCUGAUGAUCUGAAGCCAGGCUGUGCUAUUGUCCGGCGCACAAAUGUUCUACAAGGACCCAGACCACCAUGCGGUUCUCUGUCCACAGACUAUGGAGCCGCUCACAUUCAACUGCUAGCAAUUAUUCCUGUUGACCCUCCUCGCUCUCCAAACGGGGUGUGGAUCUCUGAAGGUUUUUCUCUUUGUACCUGACAAGCCCAUGUUGCCGGCAGGCUCCAAGGGAGGAGGUUGGAAGAGCCUUCACCCAUGAGGAGUACUGAAUAAAUAGACUUUCACCAUCA